rnacentral:rRNA from 1 species
AGCAGCCGCGGUAAUUCCAGCUCCAAUAGCGUAUAUUAAAGUUGUUGCAGUUAAAAAGCUCGUAGUUGAAUUUCAGGCCUGGCUGGGCGGUCCGCCCUUCGGGUGAGUACUGCCUGUGGUCGGGUCCUACCUUCUGGCGAAGCGUCAUGGCCUUCACCGGCCGUGGCGGGGAACCAGGACUUUUACUGUGAAAAAAUUAGAGUGUUCAAAGCAGGCAAUCGCUUGGAUACAUUAGCAUGGAAUAAUGGAAUAGGACAGUGGUUCUAUUUGUUGGUUUCUAGGACCGUUGUAAUGAUUAAUAGGGAUAGUUGGGGGCAUUAGUAUUCAAUUGUCAGAGGUGAAAUUCUUGGAUUUAUUGAAGACUAACUACUGCGAAAGCAAUUUGCCAAGGAUGUUUUCAUUAAUCAAGAACGAAAGUUAGGGGAUCGAAGACGAUCAGAUACCGUCGUAGUCUUAACCAUAAACUAUGCCGACUAGGAAUCGGGCGAUGUUGACAAAAUGACGCGCUCGGCA